UGUGGGAGCUGGCUUGCCUGCGAUAGCGGUGGUUCAGCUGGCUUGUAGGGCACUGUUAGACCGCUAUCGCAGGCAAGCCAGCUCCCACA
rnacentral:misc_RNA from 1 species